GACGAACGCUGGCGGCGUGCUUAACACAUGCAAGUCGAACGAUGAAACCUAGCUUGCUAGGUCGAUUAGUGGCGAACGGGUGAGUAACACGUGACUAACCUGCCCCUUUCUCUGGGAUAACGCUCCGAAAGGAGUGCUAAUACCGGAUACUCAACCCGAGGCACAUGCCUUGGUGUGGAACGUUUUUCGGAAAGGGAUGGAGUCGCGGCCUAUCAGCUUGUUGGUGAGGUAACGGCUCACCAAGGCGACGACGGGUAGCCGGCCUGAGAGGGCGACCGGCCACACUGGGACUGAGACACGGCCCAGACUCCUACGGGAGGCAGCAGUGGGGAAUAUUGCACAAUGGGCGCAAGCCUGAUGCAGCGACGCCGCGUGAGGGAUGAAGGUCUUCGGAUUGUAAACCUCUUUCAGUAGGGACGAAGCGAAAGUGACGGUACCUAAAGAAGAAGCACCGUCUAACUACGUGCCAGCAGCCGCCGCAG
rnacentral:rRNA from 1 species